ACAAAUUCAGAGAUGAGGGAGAGUAGCGAAAUCAAGCUUCAUUAAAGAGAGUUAGGGAUGGUGAGAUCCUAACAAGAAGAAAUUUUGUGAAUGGGCCUCUUAGAAGUAAAGGGAAAUACAGUUUUGUAAAGUACUGGCACCGUGAGCUGCACGUUAUAGCAGAUAGAAUAUGUUAGUAUUCGAAAUUGAGAGGCUUAUUAUAUUUUUAUAAUAGCAAUUUAGGUGGUACCGCGGAUUAUAACUCCGUCCUAUUU
rnacentral:ncRNA from 1 species